AUAUCAAUAAGCGGAGGAAAAGAAACCAACAGGGAUUGCCUUAGUAACGGCGAGUGAAGCGGCAAAAGCUCAAAUUUGAAAUCUAGCACUUUCAGUGUUCGAGUUGUAAUUUGAAGAAGGUAACUUUGGAGUUGGCUCUUGUCUAUGUUCCUUGGAACAGGACGUCACAGAGGGUGAGAAUCCCGUGCGAUGAGAUGUCCAACUCUAUGUAAAGUGCUUUCGAAGAGUCGAGUUGUUUGGGAAUGCAGCUCUAAGUGGGUGGUAAAUUCCAUCUAAAGCUAAAUAUUGGCGAGAGACCGAUAGCGAACAAGUACAGUGAUGGAAAGAUGAAAAGAACUUUGAAAAGAGAGUGAAAAAGUACGUGAAAUUGUUGAAAGGGAAGGGCUUGAGAUCAGACUUGGUAUUUUGCGUUCCCUUCCUUUUUGGUUGGGUUCCUCGCAGCUUACUGGGCCAGCAUCGGUUUGGAUGGUGGGAUAAUGACAUUGGAAUGUAGCUUUACUUCGGUGAAGUGUUAUAGACUUUGUUGAUACCACCUAUCUAGACCGAGGACUGCGUCUUUGACUAGGAUGCUGGCGUAAUGA
rnacentral:rRNA from 1 species